CUUUUAAUGGCAACUUUUUGGAUUUAAGUAGCACAAUGUAUUGUUUCAGAAGGAUGAGUGUGUGAACUGACCUUAUCAGAGAUUUGUAAAACUGUGUAAGACAGCUUGCUCUCUUUCUUUUUCCAUGUAUGGAAGGAACACUUGACGUAGUCCAAAAAAAAGUUCUUACCAAUCUGCUGAUGCCUUAUAUUGAAUCUCAUCCUCUAUGAUCAAGUAGCCUAAGGAGUUUUGGUUACCUGUUAUGAUCCUAAUGUCAGCAGCUUUUUAUUUGUGAAGAGCCACAUGUUAACACCAAUGUGCACGUGACAUGGAAAAGGAACAGAUUAUGGAAACCAACUUCUGUUUCAACCUUGCAGGAGGCUGCAUGAAGUGGGCUGUGAAGCUUGUGAUCUCUAUACUGCAGCAAAUGACCUGAUUUAGAACUGUGAAGUCAUAUGUCCCAAGUAUAUCCUCUAUCUGACAUGUCAGUAGCUUGGAAGUUCAAGUACUUGAUGUCUAUUUGCCAAAAAAUGUAGAUUCGUUACAUUCGUGCCUAUUGCCAAGACUCCACUCAGCAGUGUUAAUUCAGUGUAAACUUUUUUGUGUGUGUAUGUGAUACAUCUGUCAUGAGGAAAAACUUAUGGUAAGA
rnacentral:lncRNA from 1 species